rnacentral:rRNA from 1 species
AGUGAACGCUGGCGGUAGGCCUAACACAUGCAAGUCGAACGGCAGCACAGUAAGAGCUUGCUCUUACGGGUGGCGAGUGGCGGACGGGUGAGGAAUACAUCGGAAUCUACUUUUUCGUGGGGGAUAACGUAGGGAAACUUACGCUAAUACCGCAUACGACCUACGGGUGAAAGCAGGGGAUCUUCGGACCUUGCGCGAUUGAAUGAGCCGAUGUCGGAUUAGCUAGUUGGCGGGGUAAAGGCCCACCAAGGCGACGAUCCGUAGCUGGUCUGAGAGGAUGGUAAGCGACACGGGAAGUGAGACGCGGUCAAGAGUACUACGGGAGGCAGCAGUCGGGAAGAUUGGACAAUGGGCGCAAGCAUGAACCAGCGAUAGCGAGUAGGUGAAGAAGGCGUUCGGGUGGGAAAGCCCGUUUGUGGGGAAAAAAAAGCAGCAGGUUAAUACCCCGCUGUACUGACGGUAACGAAAGAAUAAGCACCGGCUAACUUCGUG